GGCGGCGUAGCGCAGCGGUGGUAGCGCCGGACGCGUGUCCGGUGUCGCGAGCGCGUCGGCACCGGUUCCGGUCGCCAUCACCA
rnacentral:tRNA from 1 species